AGAGUUUGAUCCUGGCUCAGAGCGAAAGCUGGCGGCAGGCUUAACACAUGCAAGUCGAGCGGGCGUAGCAAUACGUCAGCGGCAGACGGGUGAGUAACGCGUGGGAACGUACCUUUUGGUUCGGAACAACACAGGGAAACUUGUGCUAAUACCGGAUAAGCCCUUACGGGGAAAGAUUUAUCGCCGAAAGAUCGGCCCGCGUCUGAUUAGCUAGUUGGUGAGGUAACGGCUCACCAAGGCGACGAUCAGUAGCUGGUCUGAGAGGAUGAUCAGCCACAUUGGGACUGAGACACGGCCCAAACUCCUACGGGAGGCAGCAGUCGGGAAUUUUGGGCAAUGGGCGAAAGCCUGACCCAGCAACGCCGCGUGAAGGAUGAAAUCCCUCGGGAUGUAAACUUCGCAAGAACGGGAAGAAUAAGUGGAAGUUAAUAUCUUCCAUGAUGACGGUACUGUUUGUAAGCUCCGGCUAACUCCGUGCCAGCAGCCGCGGUAAUACGGGGGGAGCAAGCGUUGUUCGGAUUUACUGGGCGUAAAGGGCGCGUAGGCGGCCACCGCAAGUCGACUGUGAAAUCUCCGGGCUUAACCCGGAAAGGUCAGCCGAUACUGCGGGGCUAGAGUGCAGAAGGGGCAACUGGAAUUCUCGGUGUAGCGGUGAAAUGCGUAGAUAUCGAGAGGAACACCUGCGGCGAAGCGGGUUGCUGGGCUGACACUGACGCUGAGCGCGAAAGCUAGGGGAGCGAACGGGAUUAGAUACCCCGGUAGUCCUAGCCUUAAACGAUGAAUGCUUGGUGUCUGGGGUUUUAUAAGUCCCCGGGGGCCGUCGCUAACCCUUUAGCAUUCCGGCUGGGGAGUACGGUCCGCAGACUGAAACUCAAAGGAAUUGACGGGAACCCGCCCAUGCGGUGGAAGAUUGUCUUAAUUCGACGCAACGCGAAGACCUAACCUGGGCUAGAAUGCCUCUUGACCCGCGUAGAGUAACCCCUUCUUGUAAACAGCAAGGCAAGGGCUCCAUGCGUGACAACUC
rnacentral:rRNA from 1 species